CCGCCCCUCCCGGGUGCAAGCUGAGCGCCCCACCCGCCCCUGACCUCCCCAAGCCCCUCCUCUGGACCCGCCUCUUCCCGAGAUGGGACCCCUACACACUCCCGGGGGGCUGUCACCACACCCCACGAGUCCCACUAGGGCCUCCCGAGUGCAAGUUCACCCAAGUGGUGACUUUUUAGGGACCCUCUUGCUCGUCUCGCAGAGGCCUUCUGGGGCUACCCGCCCCCUGUCCAGUCGCUCCGACGUGGCUACUUUGCGGGCUGGGCUGUAUAAAGGGCUGGAGGCAGCUCGACGCAAACCAGAGACGUGGCGCUUCGCCUAGGCCGGCCUAGGCUCCAGGGCCUGAUUACAUCCGGAGAAUGGAGCAGGGAGGAGCUGAAGAGAUCACGGCCUGGGAGACAUGAAGACACAGCUCUGGACCUCAGUCGGCUCUCCCAGCAAGGCUCCCUAACUGGGGACUUUGAAAUGUAACAAGACUACUAAAUUGUAUUUUUUUUAAAAAAAAAAUGCCUGGAAUCAUGUUUUCUUGUAUAGAUGAACCCGGUAGAUAUUACAGUAACCAUUUGAAAAAUUUUCACCCUGAUUUCCAAGAUUGUCUGCCUGAUCCUGUACUUUUUUGUUUGUUUUGUUUUUGACAGGGUCUCUCUGUGUAGCCCUGGCUGUCCUGGAACUCACUCUGUAGUCCAUGCUGGCCUCCAACUCAGAGAUCUGCCUGCCUCUGCCUCCCAAGUGCUGGGGGACUAAAGGCCUACACCACCAUCGCCUGGCUAAUCCUAUCCAUUUUAACACAGCUGAACACUGUGCAAAGAAGUGAAGCUCGAUGUCACUGUAGAAUUGCUCAGAGCUGCUCCCCAUUUACUUAUGUUGUAGUAUUCAGAAGACCCACAGUUGUAGUUACAGAUUACUCCAUGAUGGCCACCCGUGGAUGUCUUCACAGAUGAAGGCUCUUGUACUGGAGAGGUUGAGAGAACUCUCAAUGCCUUCUCUAGUCUCUUGGCCUUCACUAAAGCCCCUUACGGCUUCCUUUGCCCCAAGAAAGCUCUCUCCCCUUCAGUGACCAUGCCCUGGGUGAUGUUAAGGAGACUAGACAUCCCUGGAAGCUGUGAUCACACACAAGUACACACACACACACACACACACACACACACACACACACACACACACACACGAAGGAGCAUUAAAGAUUAUGAUACAAAGAUUCUUGGUCCUUAAGGUAAAGUUCCAGCUGUUCCACUCUGCUAGGGUGUGUGAGGGACCCUCCAGCAUCGCCCCCUCCACAGUCUAAUUUCUACCUAGGAUCUACCUUGGUUUCCUAAGGCUAAUCAGAAGGAUGUGACCAUGGAUUUUGUCCCUGGUUAUUCCUAAUGUGACACAGAGUCACCUGCCUCCACCUACCUCAAGUGAGUUCUGCUUACUUGUGACCUCUCAAAUUCAACCCACACUAAGCAGGGCGUUCUUUCACCUCAUAGCCAUGUUCAGCAGCCUGGUUAGGUGUGUGGGCCACAGCACUAAGUAGCUUCAGGGUGUACCCAGACAUACCCUCAGGAAAAUGUGUUUGCUUUCUGGAUGGGGGUGGACUUCAUCUCCAACGGUUAUGUGUUCCUUGACAUGUUCAAUGAUAUUUCAAGUGUUCAGCAGGGCGUCGCAAUUUACUUCUGCUAUAUUUCCAGAAAUCAAAGCAUUCUAGAAAACUACAAGUAUUUUGUUUAUUGUGGCUGGGUUUCUAGAUAUGUUUUCUGGCAACCCAAUUUCCGUAAGAUGAAGCUGGUGCCCUCGAAGCAGUUCAAGUUGUCUUUUAGAAGCAUGGUAUGGGGAGAGGAAAAAUGCUAAGUUUAAAUGAUUUUUGGAAUAUCUACAGGAAAGGCAGAUGGUUUCUGGCAUGAAGAUAAAGCAUCAUUUUAGUUUCCUUGGAGUUAUUUUCUGACAUCCAGACUCAUAUGUCUUGAGUGUUUAUAAGCAAAGAGUGGCUGUACUUACUUUAGAAAGAUAUUUUGACUUAUUAGCUAAUGUCUUCUACAUUCUCCUGUCUUUGAGAAACUGGGCUUUGAGGGGACAUAAAUAGUUUCAGAAAUAUAUUUUAAACAUAUAUUUAGAUUUUGAAGCACAAAUUUCUCUGUCCUGGUUUAUUUCAAUAUUUACCAACUGAAUUUAGCAUAAUGACCUUGGAUUCAAUAAAAGGGAUAUUUGUAGAAUUAAACCAAAGGGGGCAUGUCUUCCCAAGCAAAUUAGGAGGAAUAAAGGCUGUUGGGAUCUUGUA